rnacentral:rRNA from 1 species
CACGUAGGGACCAAGCGUUGUCCGGAUUCAUUGGGCGUAAAGAGCUCGUAGGCGGUUCAGUAAGUCGGGUGUGAAACCUCCAGGCUCAACCUGGAGACGCCACCCGAUACUGCUGUGACUAGAGUCCAGUAGGGGAGCGUGGAAUUCCUGGUGUAGCGGUGAAAUGCGCAGAUAUCAGGAGGAACACCAGCGGCGAAGGCGGCGCUCUGGGCUGGAACUGACGCUGAGGAGCGAAAGCGUGCGGAGCGAACAGG